ACGUACUACUCCAUGCAAAUGAAUUCGCACUAAGUUUCAGACUUUGGUGUUUUUGGAUAUGUAUACCCUUUAAGUUGUAAACGGAUAUUACCGACUUGCAAUAUUAUAGCUAGCAAGCAAGCGACGGUGAUGUCGGAGGCAAGAAAGGAGGAGGAGGAGGUCUCUCUGUCGUCUGCAUCUUCUUUUCCGGAUCUCAGAAAACGUAUGUCAAACCCAGUAUUCCCAUCUCCUUUUUAAGAUAGACAAGGUAUGGCAGCAGCAGGAGCACAGACUGCAUGGCAGCGUAGAGCAAACUGUUGUUUUGUCCAAGAAGAUGCGAGGAGCGCUCCAAGAUUUUCUUCCUACCCGUCGUCAUCUUCCUCAAAAGCAGAAUCUGAUAUUGCACCUGAGAACAUCAAACCAGAUUGCAUGCCUUAUAACCGAGGUCCUGAACUAGCACCCAACACCAAGUGGUGGUUGAACCUGGAACCCAACUGUGGGCCUCAGGAGGAGUUACUUACGAACAGCUAAAGUUCUGGAGGCUGAACUUGAAGUUUUGAAUACCGGAAUUGUUCAUAAAACUCCCAUUAAAAGCGACUAUUAUCAGUGCAACGGGGAAAUUAUGCUGGAUUAUCGGUUCAUUACAAAUGUCUGCCUGUUUCCCCCAUAAUUAGAGUAAUAUGCCAUGUUACUGUCUGGGUGGUGGUUUUCACACUCCCGUUAUCUCCUUCUGCUGUCAUCCCUUUGUUUAUGCUACUUAAUUCUUUGAUUUAUUCAAUCUAAAGGCUAGAGAAAAAGGAGGGGGGCACGGGGAGAAAAGAGGAGUGCGGAAAUCACUUCCCUUCCUUAUUUAUCUCCACAAGCCUUGGUAUUUUUCAUUCAUUUAGUAACAUUUGGAAAUUCAGUGAUCUCAAUUGGUAAUCUGUUUCAGCAGGGAUGAGGUUGAAACCCAAAAUGAUGUACAAGACGAACGAACAAAAGCCGAGCUAUCGGAAGCUUUGUGUCACUCUCAAACGCGAGCGAGGAAGGCAGAGAAAGCAGCAAAGCAAGCCUAUGCAGAGAGGGAGCACAUAAUCACUCUGUUUUUCAAGCAGGCCUCACAACUCCUUGCUUACAAGCAGUGGUUGCAGUUGCUGCAGCUCGAGAACUUCUGCCUGCAGCUCAAUAACAAACACCCACCAUGGUCCCCUUACAGAGGCAGGCACAUGAAGAAGGGCCAGCGCAGGGCCGGAAAACGGGGCAGCAGACGAAGGUCCGAAAUUAACACGGGCGUUGUUGCAUUCGCGGUGGGAUUGGGUCUUGCCGGGGCGGGUUUGCUCCUCGGAUGGACAAUGGGGUGAUUGUUUCCAACCGUUUAAACUACUCUUCGUGCUUUGCUUACCUCUUAUUUCGCGGAUUGGAUUUCACUUGACUGUCUCCGUCUCCAUUGCAUGUGCUCGGAGUAGAAGUUUCGUAUAAAUGUAUCGCCAUGCUAUUAAGUAUAGAAAAAGAAUAUGUUGAUACUAUUGUAGAUUGAUCUAUAUUAAUCUAUAUUAAAUUAACCCGCA